CGUAUAUCGUAGCCUGAAUAUCCUCUAUCGAUUGCUAGCAGUCCCCUUUAUCUGUAUUUCCUUGUCUUUCUUUGUUGGCUAAGCAUUUUGUUCCUCCAUAUUCUCUCGAUUUCGUUUUGUGUUUCCAUUUUAGUAUGAAUAUGUGCAGCGUUAUGAUUUUUCUCCCAUGAGUUAACAUGACAAGGGUUGUACCUGGUAUUCAUUAUCAUAUGAACUCGAGUUCUUGAGCGGCAAAGAUGUCAGUUUUUUUUCCCUGUUUUUGCUUUUCUAUUUCCUUUGCUCCUUCUUUAAAGUUCUCUUGCGAUUUCUUAAUGUAUUGUCCCUUUGGAAUCAUUUGAUUUCCUUGCUUUAGAAUCAUCUCGUUAAUGUUGUUUUUUUUGUGUGCAUUUAAAGCAUUAAGCAUGAUUCUGAUGGAAGUCGUUUUAGCAUUAUAUAUUGGUCGUUAUGUGCGUUGAUUCGAGUUCAUAUCUAUGAAGUUAACAAAUGCGCUGUUUG
rnacentral:misc_RNA from 1 species